CGCCAGCGGGGGGCUCGGCGCCUGGGGCUCCUUCCGGGCUCCCCCUCCGGACUCCCCGCCGGCUCCGGAGGCGGCCCGAGCGGGCGGUGGCGGGGUCGGGCUGGACGCGGGGCGGGAGCCGAGGCCGCUGCGGACCCCGCAAUCCCGCAGCCGGCGACUGGAGCCCACCUCUGCAGAGACAAAGGUGACCAAGAAUUCAGCAAACACAAGGGAAGCAAAGGACCACAGCUUGGAUGUAAAACUUAAUGCCUUGAAUAAAAAAAACUAUUUUUAUUAUACAAGUAAAUGGAACAUGUUGAUGAGCCUUCCCAAGCUCAGAAUAUUUUAUACUGGUUUAUACCCAUGCAACUGAGUAAAAAGGCAUUGUGUAAUUCUAAAAUUUUCUGAGAAGUAAUCAAUAGCCAAUUUGCCUCUUUAUCUUCAUCCAUUCUACCCUAAUAAAAGUAGAGUUUAUGACCCUCCGUUUCAGCUUGGGAAAUGAGGGCUAAGAAAAGGCUGAAAAGGCAGCCAUAUUUGCUUUUCCUCCUUCGCAGAGGUAAGUAAUGUGUGCAUCUUUGUGGACCUUACAAAAUGGUAACCCUAAACCAACUAUUCUGUAUAAACGAUUGAGCCUCGCACCUUCUUUUGUGUUUCUGUUCCUUGCAAACAAAGCCUAAGUAACUCCAAAUCUUGGCAUUUCCUUAAUGUUAAUAUUCAAAGGUUCUAUUUUUCGUUAAGUAGUUUACAGACCUACUUGAUUGCCUCAAUUUGGAGCAGAAAAAUAAUGCCACUUGGGAUUCCAAAAGGUUCUCAGAAAUUUUAUGCAAAUUUCUGCAGCAAAAAAAGCUUGUUGCGGCAAUGCUUGAAUGUUUACUGAGCUGAGCCAAUUAGAGUCUCUCUUCCUGAGAUACCAUGUUGGGGGGGUGGGGAUAUGUAGCCAUUAUGAAAGAAGGUGGAGAUGAUGUGGUCUUAAUCUGUAAUUCUUUCUCAUAUACUAAAGGAAACAUACAUCCACAUUUAUACCCAAUACUUUCUGCAUGUGUGUAACGUAUGUGUACAUACAAGUUCAUAUUCUCAAGCAACACUAUUGAAAGUCAUUUUCAGUAUAUAAGCUAUGUUUUAGGGAGAUGAUGGAGUCUGAAAGUACAUUUCCAGAACAACAAAAUGCCAAGGAAAUGUCAUUUUUACCUUCCCUUCCUUCCUUGAUUUCCACCUCCACCCAUGCAGUAGGUCACUUACUGGGUAGACUACUAACAAAGUCGGUAGCCCUGAAAAUGGACUUUAGGAAGCCAGAAUUUUUAGUGGGGGACAGCAAAUUGUACAGAAGGCUCCCUUACAUCACGGGCAGCUGGAGCCAAGCCAGUACCCGUCUUUGGACAGUUUAUGCCUAAGGCUGUUUCCAAGCCCUCUUUUCAGUCCUAGACAUCCACACUAUGUACCAGCCAACAGUAGUCUCGGGCAGCGCACAGAGCAAAAUGUUCCUAAAUCCAGCAUACACAUUUGCAGCUGUCUCUUCUGCUGCAAAUGUUUAAGCCUAGGCCACCCUUGAUUUUAAAACGAUCUUUCCUGGCUUAGGUUAGUAAAUAUCACAGUUACAGCCCCUUCCUGGGUAGAAAGCUAGGUGGUCCUUUCCUUCUGAUCCAGCCAGUUCUAACAUUUCUCCUGUCCUUGUGUUAGCAGGCAAACAACUGAGGGGGCAAGACUCGCCCCAAACUAACGAAUCCUUUUAUCUUACCUGUGUGAUAAAAUCAUUCUGGAAAUAAAAAUGUUUAUAAGCAAAUGUAGUCAGAAAAAGCAGAGCCUUUCACUGUUUACUUAGUAACAGUGUUUUCCCCUUUCAGGGAGAAUGUUGCUUUACUUGAAUUUCUUCUCUUUCUCUCCUCUUCCCUCUCCCUCCUCCACAUAAAAUGGCAGCUGCAAGAGCAGCCUCAAAUGGGAAACAGAUACCUUGAUAAUAAUAGACGCCAAAGCACAGUAUCAACUGGGACUCAGAGGAAUUAAACUGUGGUGUAAUCUGGACUGUGGGUCCUUCCCUCAUUGGGCCUACAAUGGGAGACCUUUGUGAAGUUCUAAGCUUUCACAGUAUUUUGGGAUUAUUCAGAGCAAGACAGAUUAUGGGUAGCAGUAGUCAUUCCUCUCUGGAAUAAGUGCCCACCCCCAGCA